GCCAUUUGUUGCCGAAUUAUCUGCUGCCAUAUGAAUUCCUUAGAAUUGCCCUAAUCACUCCAAUCUCCAUGGUUAUGAGAAGGAAAUACACCAGCGAACAAAUGAAGAGUUUUAUUUAUUUAAAAGCUUCUGUUGGAUUCUUCAAUCACACUAAUGUCCUCCUACUACAUAACAGGGUAAAUUUUGUAAGGCUGCACUUAGCCAAUCAUGAGAUUUCCAAAGAAAAGGACAACAGAAAUUGCAUUGUUACAAUUCCAGUGUCUUACAUUCUAUUAUAUGAUAAUUUGGUGUGUGGGUAGAUUAUGCCUUGGAAGUUGGGAUCUGUCCCUACAACUAGCUUUCUGUUUUUUGGUAAAAUAAAAGCUAGCUUUUAAGGAUGAGGUUUGUGCCUCUAGCUUUGUUGGGACAUUCACUGGCAAGCAAAAAAUUUGGCAAUGCAACACAAAAAUACCUGCCUUUUGAGAGGCUGGGAUAACUUUGGCGUAUGUAAACAAGAGCCUGCUAUAAAUGCUUGACAGAAUCUCUAUACACACUAUUUGUCUUUGAGAAACCAGGGAUUGGAAAUUCCCAAACCCUUACCUACAUUUUCACCUGUUCCUUUCAGGCAGGUACCUUAGAGCACAACCCAUCCACAUGGGAUAGGUUGCUAUCAUUUUUCUCUGUUGUCUUUGCAUUUGCACUGUAUGUUACAAGAUCAGCAUACAUUUUCACAGAUGCUUUAGAAAACUCAGCCAAUGACUCAAAAACUGAAGAAAACCCAGUCUGAAAUCCACUUACCGUGAUUUGCUGGGUCUCCUGCAUGUUAAUGAGGUGCUUUUCCUUCUCUUCGUCUAGCCUUUUCCUGAACAUAUCCAAUAGUUUUUUCCCUUCUGCCAAGUAUUCAAUGCGAUUACGGACGAUGACUUCUGAUUCUUGCUCUGAAAUCUUAGAUCCAAGGAUCCUCCUCUCUGCUCUUUGGAACGCCAGAGCCCUCCUGUCAAGUUCUUUCGCUAGGCCAUCAACCUUUCUCUUUUGCUGUUGCUCUUUUCCUUGUUGAUUCCACAGGGCAUGGAUAUCCUUGGCAAAGCUUUUCAUGGCAUAUGUCACAGCCUUAUCGGGCAGUUUUUCCAGCCAAGCUAACCAAUUAUGACAGGUUACCAGCAAUGGUGGCCCAUUAAUUCUACAUGGUGGGAGUGAAGACUUUCCCCUAGAAUAAAAAUCAACUUCAGGAGCAAUGAACUUGGACAACCAACCACCAAGAGCUUCAAUGUAGGCCUUCUGCGUAGACACAUAUGCAGCAAAGCAGGCACGCCAAUUAUCAAGUUCUGCCUCAAGCUGAAGAGUGGCAAGUAGGUGAGAGUCAUUACAGAACUUUCCAUAAGCUGGGCAAUUGAAGAAUUUCACUUCAAGCAUGACUCGGUUUUGAGUUUCGUGUGAUUCCAACAUUAUCUUCCAAUUUCUCAUUAGGCUGCAUAAGUGGAAGGAUCAAAGUCAUCAAACAGCUAAUUAUAACUUCAGCCUUGUUAAUUCUUGCAGUAAAUUUCUAACAUCUUGUUUCUUACCCAUGUAGCAGCUCAAGAAGUUGUGGCUGCAACUCUUCAUCUCUCAAUUUCUGUAUUCUGUUGGAGAUAGACUCCACGCUUCUUAUUGCAACCGAGAUCCUGGAAUGUAAUUCUGUUACUUCGGUUGUAGAUUUAUCCCGUGAUGGGAAGUCAUCUACUGUAGCAUCAGGGUGCCUUAAAAUAGAGCAUUUUCGCUCAUAAAUUUUCCUAGUCUGAUCUCCAGCCUUCACCUCCAGGUAGAGCUUCUUCUCCCAAGCAUAUAACCUCCCUAGAGUCAAUGAAUGGCUCCCAGCUUCCAAUCCAUGGUCAUCAAAUAGAUCAGUCUUGAAUUCUGUCCACAUUGAAGAACUUGUAGAACUAGAUGUAAGGAGACUUCUACAGGAGGAAGACCGAGAUAAAGUUGAUCGGCUCCAUGUAAUUGAUCUGAUGAGCUUAUUCGAGCUCUCUUUGAUUUCCUCUAAACCAGAUUGCAAAUGUACUCUGUUGGCCUCUAGCAUCCUUGAAAUAUCCAAACCAGAAUCAUAAACCCUGAAAAAAUGGUCCUCAAUAUCUUUCAAUGCUUUUAGCAAUUCCCUCCCAUUUGUGGGUUCAUCAAUCACUCUCAAUCCCUUACUCUCCCCUUGGCCUACGACAUUUGCAUUAUCUUCAUUUCUCAUAUCUAUAAUUCCAUUCUCUUUAUGACCCACAUCACAAUUCACAUUUGCAGUUUCGUUCUCAUUCGCUACUUUCUCUCCAUCCUCUUCCAGCUCUGGAAUCCCUUCUUUCUCUCUCACAGCCCUCAAAUCCUCUUCUGAGCUUUGACUAAACCCAUUAAAAACAUCUGAUCUCAUCUCAUCAAAUGGGUAAAAAAAAUCCCACCCAAUUUCCCUCUGUGGUGAUGGCAAAGGCGGACCAUCCUCGCCAUAAAAGUGCUCACAAAGCCCUUCCCCUUCUUCACUUUCACUUUCAUCUUCUUCUUCCCCGGAUUCCUGCUCCUCAUGAUCACCAUUAUCAUUAUUAGCUUCUUGGUUUUCUUGUACUUUCGUCUCUAACUUAGAAGAGGCUAAAGAAACUUUAGAAUCAGAAGGCUGACAUGCAAUGGUUUCAUUGGUGGGUUCAGUUGGACUCUGUUGAAGAAACAUUGAGUUGGUGAGAAAGGUCUCCUUGGUGUCAACAUUAGCAGAAGUAGUAGAAGGAAAAGUGAUAAGAAAAGGUGAAGAUGGAGAAGAAUGUCUAGCCACAAACAACCUCAAAGCCAUUGCUACUGCAUAGAUAGACUGAUUAUACUUAAACUGGGCAUCUGCAAAUGCAUACCUUCUCUCCACGGCCAACUUAAGUAGCCGUUUCCUUUCUCUACACAAGGACACAACAUCGUCUUCAUCAUCUUGCUUUGACAGACCACACCCCAUCUUUCUAUGAAGUACUUUUCUUGGUGGGAAAAAAGAAGCGGUUUUUGUCUUGUCUGCGAAACUACAGUGGGCUUUUGCUAAAAUGGAGGAAGGUUGUGAUAACCAUGGCAGAAAGUUAGUACUGGAAAAGUUGAAGAUAAGAGAAGAGAAGAGAAUUAUAAUAUCAGCAGGUAGUAACUGAUAGAAACAGAAAAGAGUGGUGGGUGAUGAGAAUGGAGGAGGUGAUUAAGUUUGGAAUUUAGCUUAGCUUAAAGGAUCUCUCAUGUAAAGUUGAAAAAGAACAGCCGGGCGUUGUCAGAAGGUAAGAGAGAUAGACAAGCUAUUGAGCACCAAAAACCAGCGCUUGUUUGCGCAUUGGGCGAUUUUGGUGGCCUCCCUUAACAGUAAUAAAA
rnacentral:misc_RNA from 1 species